rnacentral:rRNA from 1 species
AUUAAACGCUGGCGGCAUGCCUUACACAUGCAAGUCGAACGGCAGCACGGGGGCAACCCUGGUGGCGAGUGGCGGACGGGUGAGUAAAGCAUCGGAACGUAUCCUGGAGUGGGGGGAUAACGUAGCGAAAGUUACGCUAAUACCGCAUAUUCUGUGAGCAGGAAAGCAGGGGAUCGCAAGACCUUGCGCUCUGGGAGCGGCCGAUGUCGGAUUAGCUAGUUGGUGGGUAAAGGCCUACCAAGGCGACGAUCCGUAGCGGGUCUGAGAGGAUGAUCCGCCACACUGGGACUGAGACACGGCCCAGACUCCUACGGGAGGCAGCAGUGGGGAAUUCUGGACAAUGGCGGAAGCCUGAUCCAGCCAUGCCGCGUGAGUGAAGAAGGCCUUCGGUUGUAAGG